AUUGAACGCUGGCGGCAUGCUUUACACAUGCAAGUCGAACGGUAACAGGCCGCAAGGUGCUGACGAGUGGCGAACGGGUGAGUAACGCAUCGGAACGUGCCCAGUCGUGGGGGAUAACGCAGCGAAAGCUGCGCUAAUACCGCAUACGAUCUAUGGAUGAAAGCGGGGGACCGUAAGGCCUCGCGCGAUUGGAGCGGCCGAUGUCAGAUUAGGUAGUUGGUGGGGUAAAGGCUCACCAAGCCAACGAUCUGUAGCUGGUCUGAGAGGACGACCAGCCACCGGGGGACGGAGAGACGGACCAGACUCCUACGGGAGGCAGCAGUGGGGAAUUUUGGACAAUGGGCGCAAGCCUGAUCCAGCAAUGCCGCGUGCAGGAAGAAGGCCUUCGGGUUGUAAACUGCUUUUGUACGGAACGAAACGGUCCUGGUUAAUACCUGGGGCUAAUGACGGUACCGUAAGAAUAAGCACCGGCUAACUACGUGCCAGCCGCCGCCGUAAAAC
rnacentral:rRNA from 1 species